CUUAUGUGGUUGGUUUUAAUUCCUUAGGUGCAGCUAUCUUCUUUGAAUUCAAACACUACAAACCUAAAAAAAGGUUUACCAGCACCAAGUGUUUUGCUUUCAUGGAGAUGGAUGAAAUUAAGCCGGGUCCAAUUGUAAUAGAACUGUACAAGAAACCCACUGACUUUAAAAGAAAGAAAUUGCAAUUAUUGACCAAGAAACCACUGUAUCUUCAUCUACAUCAAACUCUGCACAAGGAAUGAUCCUGACAUGAAUAACCUGGAACGUCUGUGAAUUUUACCACCCAGUAGGAACCAUCAUAGCUGUGUAGCAUAGUCAUCCUUCAACAGGCAGGAAGCAAGCCGUAUCCAUGUCAGUAGGCCAGAGUGAGUCUAUUGCAAAGCUGUCCCAUGGACUUCAAAGUCCAGCACAUCACUGACAUGUAAGACUCCUUUGGAUACAGGCUUAUUGUAGAUUUUGAGAUGUGUUCUCCCUUUUCUAUUAAUUGUGCUAUUAAUAGUCUAUUUUCUAACUUACCACUUGUCCUGCCCUGCUUCCUGGAACAAUACUGUCGAGGGUAGGAUGUGCUCAUCUACAAACGUAUUAAUACAGCAAUAAGAAUGUGCUCGAGUUUACACAUCUGGUCACUAACUCUGACAUGCUCUUUUGGUUUGAGUUAACUUCUGAGAGUAGGAUGGAAUCAAACUGCUCUGAGAAGAACUGGACCCAUUUUGCUACCUAAGAAUAUCUGUCUGGAAAUGAAAGGUCCUCAGAAGUGGCCCCAGUUCACCCUGCUCUGAGAGUUUUCCUGUUGAGAAACAGCGUGCCUUGGCCAGAUCAGUAUCCCACGUGGGAGUAUUCCAUGGGUUGUAGCUGUGAUAUUUUCCAGAUGACCAGACUGUUUUUCUGAAUGUGAGCAUAUUUCUAGCCAUGUUGAUUAGCUGUUCUACAUCACCUUGUUAUUCUUUCUAAUGAUGACUCUAGGGUUAACAGAAUCUCAGAAUAAUCACCAAUUUUGGAUGGGUUUACAAUGGGGUCUUCUAAAUCAUAUAAUCAAAGCCAGUUGAGUCAGAUGCUAAUGAGAUACUGCAGGAAUAACUGCUGUUUUUUCUGACAACUGAUUGUGAAACCUUCAAACCUGCAUACCUCUUAUAGUGAUGAGUAUGCAAAAAUUUGGAAAGAUAAUCUAUUUUUUAUAUAGGUAGACAGGAUUGCCAUUUAUUUCCUAUUUAGAUAUACUGACAUUCAUCCAUAUGAAAAUAUGCAGGUCAUUAGCUUAUAAUUUGACUAUUUACUUUUGACUUAAUGAUGGAGCGGGCAUAAAUAAAACUUUCAUAGUACACAUGAGGUGGAUAUUUGAUACACAGAACUUAAGAUUUGUGGUGUGCUUUCUGUGGGUUAGAUAUAGAACCCACGUAUUUGAAUAUUCACUAUUUUAAAUGAGCAAUGCAUGAGGGGAAUGCAGUGUCAGUACCUGGCCUAUUUUUAAACUAGUGUAGUAACUCUAGUCAUACAAUUCAGUAUUGUUUGCUUUUUAAAAUAGCCAUAAUUAAGUUUUUUAGCCCUCAUACUUCAAGAGAUCUAGUCUUUACUUUCAGUUGUCUAUUAAGUCAAUUUUGUUUACUACAUGGAUGUUAAUAAAAACUAUGAGCCUGAAAGAACUCUGAACCAAAUUUAGUCUUGUGUCCCAUCUUGACUGGAUUAACUCCAAAUUCUAAAAUGAUUCCAUUCACAAUAGCUCUAGGGGAUGAAGAAUUUGCCUUAAUAAACUGCUUUAUUCACUCAACUCUCUAGAGUUGUCAUAGCCCCAGACUGUAAGCUCCUGAGGGGGCAAGAACUGAAUUUUCUCCAUGUCAUGUAAAUUCCCUAAGGUGCUCAGCAGCACUCUGUACCCUGUGGAGUACUCAGUACCUUUCGUCUGAUGUUGCUGACAAGACCUACAAAAUAAUCCCUUAAAAACCUACUAUUAAAAUGUAGCAAAACUGA